UGCCCUAACAGUUCCCCGCCCGGGAACAAGGAGCUGGUAUCAGGCACAACCCUACUGAGCCCACGACACCUUGCUUAGCCACACCCUCAAGGGAACUCAGCAGUGAUAAACAUUAAGCCAUAAGUGAAAACUUGACUUAGUUAAAGCUAAGAGGGCCGGUAAAACUCGUGCCAGCCACCGCGGUUAUACGAGAGGCCCAAGUUGACAAACACCGGCGUAAAGCGUGGUUAAGUUAAAAAUCGUACUAAAGCCAAACAUCUUCAAGACUGUUAUACGUAACCGAAGAUAGGAAGUUCAACCACGAAAGUCGCUUUAUCUGAUCUGAAUCCACGAAAGCUAAGGAACAAACUGGGAUUAGAUACCCCACUAUGCCUAGCCCUAAACAUUGAUAGUACUACACACCCACUAUCCGCCCGGGUACUACGAGCAACAGCUUAAAACCCAAAGGACUUGGCGGUGCUUUAGAUCCACCUAGAGGAGCCUGUUCUAAAACCGAUAACCCCCGUUCAACCUCACCCUUCCUUGUUUUACCCGCCUAUAUACCGCCGUCGUCAGCUUACCCUGUGAGGGACUAAUAGUAAGCAGAACUGGUACAACCUAAAACGUCAGGUCGAGGUGUAGCGUAUGGAGGGGGAAGAAAUGGGCUACAUUCGCUACCACAGCGAACACGAAUGAUGCACUGAAACACACAUCUGAAGGAGGAUUUAGCAGUAAGCUG
rnacentral:rRNA from 1 species